rnacentral:lncRNA from 1 species
CGCAACGCUGACCUUUCAAGCCUGGGUUUAGGAAGAACGUGGUUCCCGGGUCAGAAGUUACCAGAAAGAAGCCCUGUUUUCCACACUCAGGGUUGGAUUUCACGGUCCUCUAGUGUCCAGCUGCACCUCUGGACGUGACCCUGGACGUCCCUGUGGUCCCAGUGUGACCCACCCAGGACUGCACGGGCUUCUCCCCUCCACCAGGACCCUGCUGCACGGACCUCUCCCGGGCCCCUGACAGCGGCUGCAGACGUCGAGGGUCGGGUGUGAGCCUGUCAUACACAAGAGGUCCCAUCCCGGCUCCGCCCCAGAGGGCCCUCUGAGUCUCACUGGAUUUUCCCUGUGCUGGAAGCAGAGACGUUAACAGGGUUCGGCUGCUUCUCCGAAGCGUCUUUUUCCUCUGGAAAGCGGCCCGUGACUGCAAACGAGCGCUUCUGUGAAAUACUGAGGACGAACUUACUAGCCGUCCCGACCCUGGGCCCAGCCGUCCGAGACCCGUUAACCCGUUG